GUAAGUUAUGGCUCACAGGGGCUAGAUGAGAAUUGACAGGGGUCCCAUAGUUAAUACAUCAUAGAACCUAUUGCUUCUUUUCUUCGAAGUUUUCUAUGACAUCAUUCUGCUCUCUGGCAACACAUCAUUGGCAAAGAAAAAUAGUUCAAAGAAAGAUAUGUUGAUGGGUGUUCCAUAGUUUCACCAUCUUAUUGGGAGAACACACAUUUAUGACCUGCCAAAUGUUAAACAUUAGGAAUUUUGCUUGCAACUGGUUUGAUCUCCAGCAUGGAUAGAGGUGGCAGCAGAGAGAGGAUGCUUUGCUUCCCUGUUUCAACUCUACACAGCAUCCAGGAUCAUGUCUUAUACCUAUAUAGAAUCCUGAUUACCUCUACACACACAGGGUGAGGAUGGAAGAAAGUGUCCUUACUGUACAUCUUGGAAAGGGAGAAGGGCUAGCUAGCCUCAUCAUAGCCACUAAGGAUCCCCACCCAGCUGUCUCCAAGAAGUCCCAGGAACAGGCAUUGAGUCAGGAAACAAAAAUAAACAACACUUACUGUGAAUUUA